GCACCAACCCAUAGCAGGUCCUCAGGGACCCCAAGACAGUCUGCAUUUUCACUCCCACCCGACGAAGACCACUGAAAACACGGUGCAGGUUCUGUCCAUUACCAGGCAAAGUUUUUGGAAUCGCACGUUCCCGGACGCAUCCAUGCUGCCCAUCUAUUAGUUGAGAAAGUGUCCGUGACUUGAGUGUCUCAUUGGUGCAUAGUGCUCCACUGGAUGAUGUACUGUGUAGUACUUUGGUCAGAUCGUGAAGGGUUAAU